AUAAAUCAAUUUUGUCUUGAAAAAAGAGGAUGUAUAGGAGCAUGGUUCAAAUGUAUCUUGUGCAAGGUCACGAAUAUUACGCAAGUUACUGCUCUUAAAAGUUAUGGAAGUCAGUCAGUUACUUUCUUCACAAAAUCACAGGUCGUAUGCAACAUUGUUUGCCCAGCAGCAGUGAUUGAUCGGUCAAAACUGAAGCGCUACGUUCUAUAUACCAAGAAUUAAAAAGAUGUUUGUAUAACAAAACUACUGAAUAUUUUUACAUAAAUUUCGUGCUGCCAUCUUUUGUCUCUAAAAUUAUGACAGAAAUUAUUCUCUAUUUAAUUUUGGAGAAUUUCGUUUUUUGAAAUUAAAAUUUUAAACACGUUUUAUUACUUUAUGCAUUCUUCAAUGAUAAACAAUUCUUUCACACAUUACUCGAAAGCAAUUUUGCUUAUAACCGGUACUUUUAAAAAUUCACGAAAUUUUAUUUUGUUGAGAAGGUAUUCUUUGUAUUUUAGGGGAACACAAUUUGUGUAUUAUUUUAAAAAAUAAUUUGAAAUUUAAAAGACUUAGAUGAGAAGACUCGUAUAAUGUGCUUCUCUUACAUGCUUCUUUGUGCACACGCAAGCAAUAACGAAAAUAAAGAAAAUCAAAUCAAUCUAAACAUAAGUUGCUCCUAUAAUAUAUAUCAAUAAAGAGACGGCUCCUGUGCAACUUUAUGUAAACUUGCAUCAGACAAUCGUAAAUGAGGAGAUUGGUGCUCACUGUAGUCCACGUGAUGUAAUAUAUUCAUACGCGAAGCACGAGAUAUGCACGAUAUUGCAUAUAAAUUUAAAAGUGACAUGAGAAAUCAAGUUAUAAGUUUAUGUUUUAGUAUGUAAGUGUAAAUAAGCAUGAUAUGAAAUAAAACAUUUAUUGAUA